UCUAUGUUUGCUUUCUAAAGAAGGCACAGGGAACUAUUAUCCUGUUCCUGGCAUAUUUUCUUUCCCCCGCAGUGCAAACAUAAGAGAAACAGUAAUUUUUCAUUUGAAUAAUAUGCAAAAUUCACUCUUACCAUUUAAAGAAUAAGCGAAAACCAUUCCCUACCUAUGGAAUGAUAGUUUUCUCUAGUCUCUGGCCACUGCUUUGUCAACAUCAAAUAUUUUGAAUAAUUUCAACUACAAUUUUUUGGUGACUUUUCUUCUGUAGACAGCGGUGGCAUUUCUUUUUGUAUUUUUGGGAUUUCUGACGCUUUUGAUUUUCAGGGUAAGGAUAAAACAGCUGAAGAAAGAAGGAUUCUCUUCUUCAUUUUCGAUGAUGUUGCAGAACAAUGUCGAGAAGCGGCUCUUAAAUAUUAUGAUACCUAUCUACCAUUUUUACUAGAUGCUUGCAAUGAUGAGAGCCCUGAUGUUCGACAGGUCUGCACUUGGACCAUUGAGUUUUCUUGUUGUUCUAUUUCAUAUAGCUUUCUUGGAUCAUAUACAAGCUAAUUUUUUUAUUUUCAAGCUAUUGUUUAUGGAAUUGGAGUUUGUGCAGAGUUUGGUGGAUCUGUGUUUAAACCUCUUGUAGGAGGUAUCUUUCUUUUUCCUGUGCACCUACCUUUGAGGAAUUAUGCCUUUUUAACACCGUCAACCAACACCUGCCUUUUAUUGGCCUGCAGAGGCUCUUUCCAGGCUAAAUUUUGUUACAAGAUAGCCUAAUGCACUCCAUUCUGAUAAUGUGAUGGCAUAUAACAAUGUUGUCUCAGCUCUAGGGAAAAUUUGCCAAUUCCAUCGUGAUAGUAUAGAUGCAGCUCAGGUAUUGUUGCGAAUCCGUUUUGGCUGAAGAUGGUUUGUUUGUCCUACAGGUUACAUAUUGUCUAGUAUAAUUUUUCUUAAUUAUGGUUUGAUUUGAAUUAUCUGAAAAGAAAGGUGUACCUGUAGUAGUCCAUUCAAAUGGCCCCACUUGGCCAUUUCCUCUUUAUUGAAUUAAAUUGUUACCAAUUUUGUGAAUGGGAUUCUUAUUAAACAAUCAUGUGAA